rnacentral:rRNA from 1 species
GUAGAGGGGGGUAGAAUUCCAGGUGUAGCGGUGAAAUGCGUAGAGAUCUGGAGGAAUAUCGGUGGCGAAGGCGGCCCCCUGGACAAAGACUGACGCUCAGAUGCGAAAGCGUGGGUAGCAAACAGGAUUAGAUACCCUGGUAGUCCACGCCGUAAACGAUGUCUACUUGAAGGUUGGGAUCUUGAAUUCUGGCCUUCGGAGCUAACGCGUUAAGUAGACCGCCUGGGGAGUACGGUCGCAAGAUUAAAACUCAAAUGAAUUGACGGGGGCCCGCACAAGCGGUGGAGCAUGUGGUUUAAUUCGAUGCAACGCGAAGAACCUUACCUACUCUUGACAUCCAGAGAAGCCAGCAGAGAUGCAGGUGUGCCUUCGGGAACUCUGAGACAGGUGCUGCAUGGCUGUCGUCAGCUCGUGUUGUGAAAUGUUGGGUUAAGUCCCGCAACGAGCGCAACCCUUAUCCUUGUUUGCCAGCACGUAAUGGUGGGAACUCCAGGGAGACUGCCGGUGAUAAACCGGAGGAAGGUGGGGACGACGUCAAGUCAUCAUGGCCCUUACGAGUAGGGCUACACACGUGCUACAAUGGUGCAUACAGAGGGAAGCAAGAGCGCGAGCUGGAGCGGAUCUCAAAAAGUGCAUCGUAGUCCGGAUUGGAGUCUGCAACUCGACUCCAUGAAGUCGGAAUCGCUAGUAAUCGUGGAUCAGAAUGCCACGGUGAAUACGUUCCCGGGCCUUGUACACACCGCCCGUCACACCAUGGGAGUGGGCUGCACCAGAAGUAGAUAGCUUAACCUUCGGGAGGGCGUUUACCACGGUGUGGUUCAUGACUGGGGUGAAGUCGUAACAAGGUAACCGAA